GUAAAUUUAAGGCGUACAGGAGUUGACUGGAUACAUGUAUAUAUUGCAGAAUGGUGACCGCUAUAGAUCAGCUGGCACCUCCACGCAUAACAUAGUUACCAUUUCUUUUGUGGUGAGAACCCUGAAGGUCUACCUGCCAGUAUAUAAUACAGCGCCGUUAACUAGAGUCGCAAUGCUAUCCGGUAGGUCCCCAAGACAGAUUUGUCGUCGUCACUUUGUUUCUCCCCUGAAGGCAGAGGCCCCGUACGCUAGGUGAUGCUCCCGACCUUUUGAGAAAAGGCUGAGAGCGGCCGGUAAGGUGCUGGAGGGGUUAUUUCUGCACUGGAGGGUACAGAACGAGGGUUUUCUUUGACAGAUCGGGGCCUGGGGCAGGUCUUGGGAUAAGCCAACCGCCACUUUGACACGAGUCUCCAGCCCAGGGACUCCAUGUGUCCAUGAAGCAAUGAAGGAAGAGGACAGAGAAAGCAGGCUAGGAGAAGGUAAAAGGGGAAAGCAACCGAGGGUCCAUCCACGGAGGCGCGGAUAGGAAGAAUGUGGCCCGUUCGUACACUGGAAGAUUCUUCAGCCUUAAAAAGGAAGGCUGUCCUGACCCCAGCUACAACAGGGACGAACCUGGAGGACGUGACGCUGAGUGAGGCUCAGCGUAACACCUGACGGAAGGAAGAAGCCCAAGAACGAUUUGUUAAAAGAAACAACGGAUGAGAGAAUAAAUCGGGAACUGAAAUGUGAAUAGGAACAGACGUAGCAUGAUUGCAGCCAAGGAAAUAUGGAAGCAUGUUACACAGCCAAGUCAAGGAAGUCAAGGCCACUACAGUUCAGCUGACGGGGGAAUCUUUUUCAGAUGGACCAUGAGCAGGAAGUGAGACUUUCUUUCAGCCCCAGGGAGAGGACUCAGAUAGAGGCUCCCCCAAAAGACCCCUCCUCCAGGAAGCCUGCCUGGAACGUUUUCCCUUUUCAGCCUGACUGAACUCAUCCAGUGCCUUGGACACUUAAACAUACUGGCUGUCUCAGGUGCACUCGAGGGUCAGCGUACCCCUGCCGUGGAGGAGUCUGGCAGACCUAGCCUCAGACAGGAGAGAACAACGAAACAGCCAUUUCCUUCCUCGUUGGGGUCCUGUGAGCUGUGGUCGCCAGCAGGGAGGAGAAACAACCACCGUCACCCUCACCGAAUCACCAUCCCCGAGAAUAACCUGUUCCUGCCUUCACCCCCUUUGCCCUCACAGUCAAACAAAAACUGCCGAUAACCUCAAUCAUGGCACCCACCGUCAACGUCACACAGAACAGGGAACGGGUCCCGCCGCCAAGUUCCCUACUGUCGCCACCGCCACGGCCACCGCCGCUGCCACGCUCACAGCACUGGCCGUCCACGGCCACACACAACCAACUUCCACUAAGGCCGCCGUUCCCACACCACCAUUGCCAGGGCGGUCGUCAAAAAUCAGCAACGGACGGCCAACAGCCAAAAGGGCUGCCAUCACCGCCCCACUCGGGGCAAGAGCGGCCACUGACUACCAUCAUUCCACGGAUCAGCCCUGAAGACGACCAGCCACCAACCACAGAUCAACACCGGCUGGCAGGCGGCAACCAUCGCCCCUGCCGACACGCGCCCACGGGACUCACAGUUACUGCCAACUUGCGAUGACCGUGGGCGAUGACCACCAUCACCCCCCGCCCCCCCGGACACCCACCACCCAUCAUUCAACAGCAACCGAGAGUCGCCUCCCCCGGCUGCCAUCACUAACGACAGCACUGAAUGGGCAUCGCCCACGGGGACUGCAUCGAGGGCACAGCGCGUGGCUUGGGGAAGGACUUGAAGAACACUGCUCCGUUGACUCCUUCCACACUCUUCCUGGCACUCAUCGCCCCCGCCAGGAAGCAGUCGGCACUCCUGGGUGGAAGUUUUGGCCUCGUGGAUGGGGUCUGCCCUCUGUUUUCCCCUCCGUGGUCCUCUUGGGUUGAGCUUCUCCCUUCCCGCAACCCACCAGGAGAGCAAACCAUUGACUAAGCAUUUUGUACAGCUUCCUUGCGAGGGGGUGGAUUUCUUUCAAGUAGCAAAUCAUUUCCUGUGUUCUUUUGAUCUCCGUCUCCCCAUCCGAGCGCCCGAGCCUUCCUGGCUUGGCUCCUUCUUCGAGGAAUUCCCAUCCCAAGCCCGGUGCCACUUUGGUGGGUGAGCUCCCCAGAGGGGUCCUCGGCCAGUGACCCCCGGUUCGUCACGGGCUUUCUGAAACGAGGAGGGGCUCUCUCCCAGACGGACGCAGUCCCUGCCGUCUGUCUGGUCCACCACCCUGCCUCCUCCACCUUGGUCAGGUGCCUGCUGCGGCUGGCUGGGUGACUGUCCCAGCCACAUGCUGUCGUUGACAGAGUGACAAAAAAUGAAAGUCGAAGUGGUUUGCAGAUGUGUGGAGCGGAGGGGGCACAUUUUGGAGCCAGCCUGGGCUCUCUCUUUAUGUGUGUGUUAGGAGGCUGCUGGGUCUAGACCCACGAUAGUGACGGUCUCCUGAACCCUGUCACCGCAGUCAUCGCCAGACCUCAGCCUCACCAGGUGGUGACGCGGCUGGCAGCAGGGUGUCCCCUGCCAUACUUGCUUGGAAGGCUUCCGGGAGUGGUGUGGCCCUGCCGGGCCUCACCGCCUCCUGUUUCUGUGAUCGCUACAGCCAGACAUGCAGGCACACUGCCACGACACCAUCACUGCCCCCCAUUGCCCACUGGACACAGCUUCUGGCCGCAGCUGUGGACUCAGAGUGGCCGAGCCCGCAGACCCUCUGAAGUUCGGAGAGUUUCCCAGAACACCUUCCCUAUCACCACUGACUUCCAAAUAUGACAUGUGUGGGAACUGAGGCCCAGAGAGGGGAAGUGGCUUGCCCAAGGCCACACAGGAAGAUGAGGGACCAAGAUGAGCUGGAAACUGGCUCUCUAAGCCCUGACAAAGGGGACAUGGCAGUUCGGAGAGGUCGGCGCCUCCCGGCCAGGAGGAGGAGGAGGUCGAGGCCGAGGCAGGCGACCCUGGCUGGGAGCCUGCGCUCCGGGCGGUAACACAGCAUCGUGCUUCGAGGCCGGCAAGCCGCAGCGUCCCCUAGUGGCCACACCUGGGGAGGAGCGAGUUUCUCCCGGAAUCGCCCGCACAGGCGGGGGGCGCUGGGUAAUCUCAGCGGUGCCUCCGGGCACCUGCGGAGAAGCGGGCAGGUGGACCUUCUCCUUGCCGGAGGCUUCAGAGGGGGGGUCUGCAAGGAGGUGACGCUUGGGCCGACGCCGAAGGAACCUUUAGGAUGCAGAGCGCUGUAGUGCGCCGGGAAGGGUGCAGUACUCAGCGCUGCCACAGGAGGGCCUGCCGGAAUCCGGACGCUGUGCGGGGGACUGGGGACAUCGGAAAUGAGGCUGUGACACGAUGCUGGAGCGCUUGCUUUGAGGCCUGUUUUAAGUUCACACCAGCCCAGUGAGAGCACACGGCCAGCGACUUUCCUCCAGCCCGGCACUUUGUGACAUAGACUUCAAAUGCGGCGCCUUUCUUGUCCUGCCCCACCCCGACGCGUCCAGAACAAGCUGUCUCUUAGCAUUGGGGAUCAUCUCCCAUUCCCCGGGGGAAGUUAUGCCCAGAUGGAACGGCACCCCGCCUUCUCCAGGGCGGCCCAGGUCUGGCAGAGGGGGCCCGAGUGUCAACUGGGAGUCAGGAAGCCGCUGGGGAGAGCCAGACCCUGCGAAUACUGGGAUGCGUCAACGGGACUGUGGAUCUGAAGAACAGAAUGCUGAUGAUCCCCAGGAGGGUCUGAAGGUUAACGGGGGAUUGGAGAGAUGAAGCCGGGAGCCUCCCGCCUCCUGCUGUGUGUCCCUGGCAAGUUGCUUGGCCUCUCUGAGCCUUGUUUCGUGCAUCUGUUGAGUGUGAAUGCAAAUACUGGUGCUCAAUAGGUGCUUAGCUCCCGGCUGUUGGACGAGAGGCUGGGAGAGGUGUUGCAGGUGGAGUCUCGGCGGGCAGGGGAACCGCUCAAGACCAAUUCUGUUGCUCUCUUCUUGGCCAGGACAUGUAGCACGCAGUAGGUGCCUCAUAAAACCUUGCCGACCUGUUUGGGUCCAAGACUCCUGAAUCUAAGGCUUCCUUUCCCUUUUCUUUAAACAAAAAUUUUUUUUUUUUAAUGUUUAUUUUUGAGACAGAGAGAGACAGAGCAUGA